rnacentral:rRNA from 1 species
GACGAACCGUGCGAACGUUGUUCGGAAUUACUGGGCGUAAAGCGCAUGUAGGCGGCAGCGCAAGUCGGGCGUGAAAUCCCACGGCUCAACCGUGGAAGUGCACUCGAAACUGCGCAGCUAGAGUCCUGGAGAGGAAGGUGGAAUGCUUGGUGUAGAGGUGAAAUUCGUAGAUAUCAGGAGGAACACCAGUGGCGAAGGCGGCUUUCUGGACGGUAACUGACGCUGAGACGCGAAAGCGUGGGGAGCAAACAGG